GAUGAAGAACGUAGCGAAAUGCGAUACGUAGUGUGAAUUGCAGAAUUCAGUGAAUCAUCGAAUCUUUGAACGCACAUUGCACCUCUCGGUAUUCCGGGAGGUAUGCCUGUUCGAGCGUCAUUUGUACCCUCAAGCUCUGCUUGGUGUUGGGUGUUUGUUCCGCCUCUGUGUGUGAACUCGCCACAAAACAAUUGGCAGCCGGCGUACUUGUUUCGGAGCGCAGCACAUUUUGCGAUCCAGAUCAACGUACAGCGGCAUCCAAGAAGCCUUAUUUAACGCUCUUGACCUCGGAUCAGGUAGGGAUACCCGCUGAACUUAAGCAUAUCAAUAAGCGGAGGA
rnacentral:misc_RNA from 1 species